GAGGAGUGGCUGAGGGAGCUGGGGUUGCUCAGUCUGGAGGAAGGAGGUUCAGGGGAGAGAGACCUUGUUGCUCUGUACACCUACUUGACAGGAGGUUGUAGUGAGCUUUAGUGAUUCUAUGACUCUAUGAAAAGUGCUGAGGCCACUGAGCUGCAAGACAUGCCUUUAUUUUAGAAAUGUAACAUGAACAAGGACAAAGCUGCAACCUAGAUGUCAGAUUCUGGAAAGAGUGAUAUUUUCAAUCCAAAUGAGAAAGAUUGUGCAGACAAUUUUUACAGCUUCUGGCCUUGAUGCAUGCACUAUAUAAUGGUAAAAAAUAUUAUUAGACCAAAGCAAUAAAGUUUUCUUCAUACUCAGUUCAUUCAUGGUUUCUGUUCCUCAGAAGCCAUUUGGAACCAAGCUCCUGAAAAAUACCCGUUUUCAUAAUUUACAGUGUGCCAUUCCGUCAUCAUUCGUUCUUGGGAAAACUUGAUCUUCAUGAGAACAUGCUGCGGUUUGAAAAUAAUGACCUUGGAUUAAAAAAAGAAAACAGAGGCAUAUCGGAAAGCAUGCAGAACAAUGAUGCUUUUACCUCCAGGCAAUGUCACAUUAGUUGCUCUGUGCUCAGCAGGACCUGAAGGCUUAUCCAACAUAUUUGCUUUGAAAAUUUCACAGAUAACAUUAAUUUGAAAAACUGCUAGUAAGCAUGCAGGAAGGCAAUAGCAGAACUAUAGUAAAUGGCAUAAUAAA